UGGGGAAUUUUGGACAAUGGGGGCAACCCUGAUCCAGCAAUGCCGCGUGAGCGAAGAAGGCCUUCGGGUUGUAAACUGCUUUUAUCAGGGAAUAAACCUCAGAACGUGUUCUGAGCUGAAGGUACCUGAUGAAGAAGCCCCGGCUAACUUCGUGCCAGCAGCCGCGGUAAUACGAAGGGGGCUAGCGUUGCUCGGAAUGACUGGGCGUAAAGGGCGCGUAGGCGGCGGCGUAAGUCAGAUGUGAAAUUCCUGGGCUUAACCUGGGGGCUGCAUUUGAGACUGCGUUGCUAGAGGAUGGAAGAGGCUCGUGGAAUUCCCAGUGUAGAGGUGAAAUUCGUAGAUAUUGGGAAGAACACCGGUGGCGAAGGCGGCGAGCUGGUCCAUUACUGACGCUGAGGCGCGAUAGCGUGGGGAGCAAACAGG
rnacentral:rRNA from 1 species